rnacentral:rRNA from 1 species
GACGAACGCUGGCGGCGUGCCUAACACAUGCAAGUCGAACGGGGUUAUUUCUUCGGAGAUAACUUAGUGGCGAACGGGUGAGUAACGCGUGAGAAACCUGCCUUUCAGUGGGGGACAACAGUUGGAAACGACUGCUAAUACCGCAUGAUGUCAUUUGGGGGCAUCCCCGAAUGACCAAAGCUUUAUGUGCUGAAAGAUGGUCUCGCGUCUGAUUAGCUAGAUGGCGGGGUAACGGCCCACCAUGGCGACGAUCAGUAGCCGGUCUGAGAGGAUGAACGGCCACAUUGGGACUGAGAUACGGCCCAGACUCCUACGGGAGGCAGCAGUGGGGAAUAUUGGGCAAUGGGGGAAACCCUGACCCAGCAACGCCGCGUGAAGGAAGAAAGGCCUUCGGGUUGGUUAAACUUACUUUUACCUAGGGACGAAGAACGUGACGGUACCUGGAGAAAAAGACAACGGCUAACUAACGUGCCAGCA